rnacentral:tRNA from 1 species
GCUGGGUUAGCUCAGCAGAUAGAGCGCCUACCUUAUAAGCAGGUUGUCGGCUGUUCGAUGCCGUCAACCUGCUCAA